CGGUUGAUCCUGCCGGACCUGACUGCUAUCGGAUUGAUACUAAGCCAUGCGAGUCAUUGUAGCAAUACAAGGCAGACGGCUCAGUAACGCGUAGUCAACCUACCCUAUGGACGGGGAUAACCUCGGGAAACUGAGAAUAAUACCCGAUAGAACAUUAUACCUGGAAUGGUUUAUGUUUCAAAUAAUUUAUUGCCGUAGGAUGGGACUGCGGCCUAUCAGUUUGUUGGUGAGGUAAUGGCCCACCAAGACUAUUACAGGUACGGGCUCUGAGAGGAGUAGCCCGGAGAUGGGUACUGAGACACGGACCCAGGCCCUAUGGGGCGCAGCAGGCGAGAAAACUUUGCAAUGUGCGAAAGCACGACAAGGUUAAUCCGAGUGGUUUCUGCUAAAGGAACCUUUUGUCAGUCCUAGAAACACUGGUGAAUAAGGGGUGGGCAAGUCCUGGUGUCAGCCGCCGCGGUAAAACCAGCACCUCAAGUGGUCAGGAUGAUUAUUGGGCCUAAAGCAUCCGUAGCCUGCUUUGUUAGUUUUCGGUUAAAUCCAUACGCUUAACGUAUGGGCUGCCGGGAAUACUGCAAAGCUAGGGAGUGGGAGAGGUAGACGGUACUCGGUAGGAAGGGGUAAAAUCCUUUGAUCUAUUGAUGACCACCUGUGGCGAAGGCGGUCUACCAGAACGCGUCCGACGGUGAGGGAUGAAAGCUGGGGNAGCAAACCGGAUUAGAUACCCGGGUAGUCCCAGCUGUAAACUAUGCAAACUCGGUGANGCAUUGGCUUGAUGCCAAUGCAGUGCCGCAGGGAAGCCGUUAAGUUU
rnacentral:rRNA from 1 species